GACGAACGCUGGCGGCGUGCUUAACACAUGCAAGUCGAACGCUGAAGACCUGGCUUUUGUUGGGUUGGAUGAGUGGCGAACGGGUGAGUAACACGUGAGUAACCUGCCCUCUUCUUUGGGAUAACGCCCGGAAACGGGUGCUAAUACUGGAUAUUCACUGGCCUUCGCAUGGGGGUUGGUGGAAAGGUUUGUUCUGGUGGGGGAUGGGCUCGGGGCCUAUCAGCUUGUUGGUGGGGUGAUGGCCUACCAAGGCUUUGACGGGUAGCCGGCCUGGGAGGGUGACCGGUGACGUUGUGACUGAGAUACGGCCCAGAGUCAUACGGGAGGCAGCAGUGGGGAAUAGUGGACAAUGGGCGAAAGCCUGAGGCAGCGACGCCGCGUGAGGGAUGGAGGCCUUGGGGUUGUAAACCUCUUUCGCAAAUGGUCAAGCCGCAACUGUGGGUUGUGGUGAGGGUAGUGGGUAAAGAAGCGCCGGCUAACUACGUG
rnacentral:rRNA from 1 species